AGAGUUUGAUCCUGGCUCAGGAUGAACGCUGGCGGCGUGCUUAACACAUGCAAGUCGAACGAAGCAACCAUGAAGCCUAGCGAUUGGUUGACUGAGUGGCGGACGGGUGAGUAACGCGUGGGUAACCUGCCUCAUACAGGGGGACAACAGUUAGAAAUGACUGCUAAUACCGCAUAACCCGCUAGGGCCGCAUGGCCCGGACGGAAAAGGAGCAAUCCGGUAUGAGAUGGACCCGCGUCUGAUUAGCUAGUUGGUGGGGUAACGGCCUACCAAGGCAACGAUCAGUAGCCGAACUGAGAGGUUGACCGGCCACAUUGGGACUGAGACACGGCCCAAACUCCUACGGGAGGCAGCA
rnacentral:rRNA from 1 species